GAUUAAGUUAUUAAGGGCGCACGGUGGAUGCCUUGGCACUAGAAGCCGAUGAAGGACGUUACUAACGACGAUAUGCUUUGGGGAGCUGUAAGUAAGCUUUGAUCCAGAGAUUUCCGAAUGGGGAAACCCAGCAUGAGUUAUGUCAUGUUAUCGAUAUGUGAAUACAUAGCAUAUCAGAAGGCACACCCGGAGAACUGAAACAUCUUAGUACCCGGAGGAAGAGAAAGAAAAUUCGAUUCCCUUAGUAGCGGCGAGCGAAACGGGAAGAGCCCAAACCAACAAGCUUGCUUGUUGGGGUUGUAGGACACUCUAUACGGAGUUACAAAGGACGACAUUAGACGAAUCAUCUGGAAAGAUGAAUCAAAGAAGGUAAUAAUCCUGUAGUCGAAAAUGUUGUCUCUCUUGAGUGGAUCCUGAGUACGACGGAGCACGUGAAAUUCCGUCGGAAUCUGGGAGGACCAUCUCCUAAGGCUAAAUACUCUCUAGUGACCGAUAGUGAACCAGUACCGUGAGGGAAAGGUGAAAAGCACCCCGGAAGGGGAGUGAAAUAGAACCUGAAACCGUGUGCUUACAAGUAGUCAGAGCCCGUUAAUGGGUGAUGGCGUGCCUUUUGUAGAAUGAACCGGCGAGUUACGAUUUGAUGCAAGGUUAAGCAGUAAAUGUGGAGCCGUAGCGAAAGCGAGUCUGAAUAGGGCGUUUAGUAUUUGGUCGUAGACCCGAAACCAGGUGAUCUACCCUUGGUCAGGUUGAAGUUCAGGUAACACUGAAUGGAGGACCGAACCGACUUACGUUGAAAAGUGAGCGGAUGAACUGAGGGUAGCGGAGAAAUUCCAAUCGAACCUGGAGAUAGCUGGUUCUCUCCGAAAUAGCUUUAGGGCUAGCCUCAAGUGAUGAUUAUUGGAGGUAGAGCACUGUUUGGACGAGGGGCCCCUCUCGGGUUACCGAAUUCAGACAAACUCCGAAUGCCAAUUAAUUUAACUUGGGAGUCAGAACAUGGGUGAUAAGGUCCGUGUUCGAAAGGGAAACAGCCCAGACCACCAGCUAAGGUCCCAAAAUAUAUGUUAAGUGGAAAAGGAUGUGGCGUUGCCCAGACAACUAGGAUGUUGGCUUAGAAGCAGCCAUCAUUUAAAGAGUGCGUAAUAGCUCACUAGUCGAGUGACACUGCGCCGAAAAUGUACCGGGGCUAAACAUAUUACCGAAGCUGUGGAUUGUCCUUUGGACAAUGGUAGGAGAGCGUUCUAAGGGCGUUGAAGCAUGAUCGUAAGGACAUGUGGAGCGCUUAGAAGUGAGAAUGCCGGUGUGAGUAGCGAAAGACGGGUGAGAAUCCCGUCCACCGAUUGACUAAGGUUUCCAGAGGAAGGCUCGUCCGCUCUGGGUUAGUCGGGUCCUAAGCUGAGGCCGACAGGCGUAGGCGAUGGAUAACAGGUUGAUAUUCCUGUACCACCUAUAAUCGUUUUAAUCGAUGGGGGGACGCAGUAGGAUAGGCGAAGCGUGCGAUUGGAUUGCACGUCUAAGCAGUAAGGCUGAGUAUUAGGCAAAUCCGGUACUCGUUAAGGCUGAGCUGUGAUGGGGAGAAGACAUUGUGUCUUCGAGUCGUUGAUUUCACACUGCCGAGAAAAGCCUCUAGAUAGAAAAUAGGUGCCCGUACCGCAAACCGACACAGGUAGUCAAGAUGAGAAUUCUAAGGUGAGCGAGCGAACUCUCGUUAAGGAACUCGGCAAAAUGACCCCGUAACUUCGGGAGAAGGGGUGCUCUUUAGGGUUAACGCCCAGAAGAGCCGCAGUGAAUAGGCCCAAGCGACUGUUUAUCAAAAACACAGGUCUCUGCUAAACCGUAAGGUGAUGUAUAGGGGCUGACGCCUGCCCGGUGCUGGAAGGUUAAGAGGAGUGGUUAGCUUCUGCGAAGCUACGAAUCGAAGCCCCAGUAAACGGCGGCCGUAACUAUAACGGUCCUAAGGUAGCGAAAUUCCUUGUCGGGUAAGUUCCGACCCGCACGAAAGGCGUAACGAUUUGGGCACUGUCUCAACG
rnacentral:rRNA from 1 species